GGUGACGUCAAAUAAAUCAGAUCCAUCAAUUUUUGGCAUUGAAUCUAUACUUCAGGACGACGCCGACGGUUGAUUUAUAUUGAUCACAAAUUCUCUUGAGAUCAUUAGCACACAUACCUAUCCUGAUUGAGUGUAUUUUGAGUUACAGUUUCAGUUGACUUUGUGCGAAGAAUAUAAUGUUAUGUAAUGAAGAAAAAUUCGGAAACUAUACUAACUGACAAAAAACUGCAACACCCAGAAGGAGCUGAAUUAUUUCUUCCUGAAUCUUCAAAUCAAAGCGAAGACAGAGAUAUUGAGGAAACUGAAGGAAUACAACUCCAAAUUGAUGCUGAGAGGGAAGUAUCAACAGAGACUUUGAAGAAUUUCAAGCAGCUUCAGAAAACUUCAAUGUUAAAUAGAAAAAAGUUAACUCAAAAUGAACGUUUUCUAUUAAAAUGUCUGAUUGAUCAGAGUAGAAAACUGAGAAUUACCCAAAAAAAAGAUUCCUCAUAUAAAGAGCGGCUAAAAACUGCCAAGAAACUUAAUUCAUCAGCAAUUUUAAGUAGACUGAUGAAUUAAGUUUCUCCAACAGCUUUCAAUUUCAUCAUAUCCGAAGUGAGGAAUCAAAUUAUUAAGCCAAGAGGAAGGCGUUUCAAGCUUGAGGAAAAAAUUUUGGCGUUAUCAUUCUUGAAGGCAAGUGGAAACGCAUAUCUCUUACUUUAAAAAAUUUUCAUCUUGUAUUCAAGAAAAACAUUAACGAAUGUUUUGAAUAAAGUGUCCUCGAUGCCUGGAAUUAACAAACACUUUGUUGACUUGAAUCAAACUGCAAUAAAAAUGUCGGAAGAAGAAAAGUUUUGUAUUUUGAUGUUCGAUUAGAUGUCCCUCACUCCCACGUUGCAGUAUGAUUCAAGGCAGGACAUCGUAUUAUCCCUAAUCUUCUAUCUUCCACCCAAUGAAUCUCUGACCCAAGGGCGGAUUUACGGGGGGGGGGUGUAAUGGGGUUAAUUACCCCUCCCCAUGAAUAUCGAAACCCUGAAAAAAAUUACCCAACGUCUUGCACAUAAAAUAUUUCAUGCAAUAAUCACAAAUUGGUAAUUUCCCAAAUAUUGCAAAUUAUUGGUUUUGAAUUGUUACAACACCCCCCCCCAUGAAAAAUUGCUUUAUCCGCCCUUGCUCUGACUCGAAAGUCAAGAGUGGCAGAAAAUACAUUGGUGUAGGUUAGUGGAUAUUUGGUGAGACGCCUUUCAAAACUUUUGAAAUGUUCCGAUUAUAAAAAACUUUUACAAUCAAACCAUGAACUUGUUCAAAAUGUUGAUUUCAUUGAGGCUAGAAGAUAUAAUGAAAAUUCUAAAUUGCUGAUACCAGGUAGUUUUUUUAUUAGUUAGUCACUCAGUGCUCUUCACGUUUGUAUCAGGCCCAGUCUGGCUCCAUUGGAAGCCCUCGGCUAGAUGCUGAUUUAAGGCCCCCCUUCAGGCAAUAAGACGAGAACCUCCCCUGGCGAAAACGUUCUCUAAUUUUUAAUUCUGAAGUUACACGCUUGUAAAGGGUGUUUCUUUUAGAGCUAUAGAACAUCAUAAUGCAAUAAAACAACGAUGGAUUAUUCGAUUGACAUGAAUUUUAUUU